UACGUAGGGUGCGAGCGUUAUCCGGAAUUAUUGGGCGUAAAGAGCGUGUAGGCGGCCAGGUAGGUCUGCUGUGAAAACUCGAGGCUCAACCUCGAGACGUCGGCGGAAACCAUCUGGCUAGAGUCCGGAAGAGGAGAGUGGAAUUCCUGGUGUAGCGGUGAAAUGCGCAGAUAUCAGGAAGAACACCCGUGGCGAAGGCGGCUCUCUGGGACGGUACUGACGCUGAGACGCGAAAGCGUGGGGAGCGAACAGG
rnacentral:rRNA from 1 species